rnacentral:rRNA from 1 species
GUCCAUGCCCUAAACGAUGAGGACUAGGUUUCGGGUCGCAAGACUCGGAGCCGCAGCUAACGCAUUAAGUCCUCCACCUGGGGAAUACGAUCGCAAGAUUGAAACUCAAAGGAAUUGACGGGGGCCCGCACAAGCAGUGGAGCAUGUGGUUUAAUUCGACGCAACGCGAAGAACCUUACCUGGGCUCGAAAUGCUAGUGACAUUCCAUGAAAGUGGACUUCCCGCAAGGGACGCUAGUAUAGGUGCUGCAUGGCUGUCGU